UAGGAGGGACAUGAUAUGAUGUCAUCUGAAGUCUCAUGACUCACGUGAAAAGUUGAAAACCUCAAACUAUUAAAAUAUUGUGAUAUGGAUCAAGAAGAAUCACAAAAGAACAAUGGAAAUAAUAAUAAUGGUGGCGCAGGAAAUAGUGGUACAGCGAACAAUUCGAUUUGCAUCAUUUUAUAAAGAAACAAACUAGUACUUUUAUAUAUAUGCUGUACUAAUGCUGUUUUCUUAGCUAUAGUACAAUAAUGUUGUUUUCUUAGCCAUAAUUUGUAAGGUAUUAUAGUCAUUAUAAGCUACUCUAGUCUCGUCACGCCCCUUCGCAGCGAAGGGGCGUGGCGAGACUAAAG